ACGGGAGGCAGCAGUGGGGAAUAUUGCACAAUGGGGGGAAACCCUGAUGCAGCAACGCCGCGUGAGUGAUGAAGUAUUUCGGUAUGUAAAGCUCUAUCAGCAGGGAAGAUAAUGACGGUACCUGACUAAGAAGCACCGGCUAAAUACUUGCCAGCAGCCGCGGUAAUACGUAUGGUGCAAGCGUUAUCCGGAUUUACUGGGUGUAAAGGGUGCGUAGGCGGCAUGGUAAGUCAGAUGUGAAAGACCGGGGCUCAACUCCGGGGCUGCAUUUGAAACUGCCAGGCUUGAGUACAGGAGAGGCAGGCGGAAUUCCUAGUGUAGCGGUGAAAUGCGUAGAUAUUAGGAGGAACACCAGUGGCGAAGGCGGCUUGCUGGACGACAACUGACGCUGAGGCGCGAAAGCGUGGGGAGCAAACAGGAUUAAAUACCCUGGUA
rnacentral:rRNA from 1 species